rnacentral:rRNA from 1 species
GAUGAACGCUGGCGGCGCGCCUAACACAUGCAAGUCGAACGAUUAAAGCACCUUCGGGUGUGUAUAAAGUGGCGAACGGCUGAGUAACACGUGGGCAACCUGCCCCUUUCAUUGGGAUAGCCACGGGAAACGGUGGAUAAUACCGAAUACUUCGAGACUUCCGCAUGGAAGACUCGAGAAAGCUCCGGCGGAGAGGGAUGGGCCCGCGGCCUGUUAGCUUGUUGGUGGGGUAACGGCCUACCAAGGCAAUGAUGGGUAGCUGGGUUGAGAGACCGACCAGCCAGAUUGGGACUGAGACACGGCCCAGACUCCUACGGGAGGCAGCAGUGGGGAAUCUUGCACAAUGGGCGAAAGCCUGAUGCAGCGACGCCGCGUGCGGGAUGAAGGCCUUCGGGUUGUAAACCGCUUUCAGCAGGGACGAGGCGAAAGUGACGGUACCUGCAGAAGAAGCCCCGGCUAACUACGUG